rnacentral:rRNA from 1 species
UACGUAGGGGGCAAGCGUUGUCCGGAAUCAUUGGGCGUAAAGCGCGUGUAGGCGGCUCGAUAAGUCUGCUGUGAAAGUCCAGGGCUCAACCCUGGGAUGCCGGUGGAUACUGUCGAGCUCGAGUCCGGAAGAGGCGAGUGGAAUUCCCGGUGUAGCGGUGAAAUGCGCAGAUAUCGGGAGGAACACCAAUGGCGAAGGCAGCUCGCUGGGACGGUAUUGACGCUGAGACGCGAAAGCGUGGGGAGCAAACAGGG